UACGGAGGGGGCUAGCGUUGUUCGGAAUUACUGGGCGUAAAGCGCACGUAGGCGGCUUUGUAAGUUAGAGGUGAAAGCCCAGGGCUUAACCCUGGAAUUGCCUUUAAGACUGCAUCGCUAGAAUCGUGGAGAGGUGAGUGGAAUUCCGAGUGUAGAGGUGAAAUUCGUAGACAUUCGGAAGAACACCAGUGGCGAAGGCGACUCACUGGACACGUAUUGACGCUGAGGUGCGAAAGCGUGGGGAGCAAACAGG
rnacentral:rRNA from 1 species